rnacentral:tRNA from 1 species
GGGAGCGGAUGGGCCCCGGUGGGUCUCCUGGUCUUCAACACCAGUGGCGCGGCACCAGGUGCGGCGCGGUGGGUUCGACUCCCACGCGUUCCCGCCA